UACGUAGGGGGGCUAGCGUUGUCCGGAUUUAUUGGGCGUAAAGAGCGUGUAGGCGGCCAGGUAGGUCUGGUGUGAAAACUCGAGGCUUAACCUCGAGAUGUCAUCGGAAACCAUCUGGCUAGAGUCCGGAAGAGGAGAGUGGAAUUCCCUGGUGUAGCGGUGAAAUGCGCAGAUAUCAGGAAGAACACCUAUGGCGAAGGCAGCUCUCUGGGACGGUACUGACGCUGAGACGCGAAAGCGUGGGGAGCGAACAGG
rnacentral:rRNA from 1 species